rnacentral:rRNA from 1 species
CUAUAAUCUGGCACCUUCGGUGUCCGAGUUGUAAUCUCUAGAAAUGUUUUCCGCGUUGGACCGCACACAAGUCUGUUGGAAUACAGCGGCAUAGUGGUGAGACCCCCGUAUAUGGUGCGGACGCCCAGCGCUUUGUGAUACAUUUUCGAAGAGUCGAGUUGUUUGGGAAUGCAGCUCAAAUUGGGUGGUAAAUUCCAUCUAAAGCUAAAUAUUGGCGAGAGACCGAUAGCGAACAAGUACCGUGAGGGAAAGAUGAAAAGCACUUUGGAAAGAGAGUUAACAGUACGUGAAAUUGUUGGAAGGGAAACGCUUGAAGUCAGACUUGCUUGCCGAGCAAUCGGUUUGCAGGCCAGCAUCAGUUUUCCGGGAUGGAUAAUGGUAGAGAGAAGGUAGCAGUUUCGGCUGUGUUAUAGCUCUCUGCUGGAUACAUCUUGGGGGACUGAGGAACGCAGUGUGCCUUUGGCGGGGGUUUCGACCUCUUCACACUUAGGAUGCUGGUGGAAUGGCUUUAAACGACCCGU